rnacentral:rRNA from 1 species
AUGUUGUAUGGCGCUGAGUGUUGGCCGACUAAAAGGCGACAUGUUCAACAGUUAGGUGUGGCGGAGAUGCGUAUGUUGAGAUGGAUGUGUGGCCACACGAGGAAGGAUCGAGUCCUGAAUGAUGAUAUACGAGAUAGAGUUGGGGUAGCACCAAUUGAGGAGAAGCUUGUCCAACAUCGUCUGAGAUGGUUUGGGCAUAUUCAGCGCAGGCCUCCAGAAGCUCCAGUGCAUAGCGGACGGCUAAAGCAUGCGGAGAAUGUCAAGAGAGGGCGGGGUAGACCGAAUUUGACAUGGGAGGAGUCCGUUAAGAGAGACCUGAAGGAUUGG